rnacentral:tRNA from 1 species
GUAGAUAUAGUUUCAACUAAAACAUUAGAUUGUGAUUCUAAAAAUAGGGGUUAAAACCCCCUUUUCCACC